rnacentral:rRNA from 1 species
GNGUGAGCGGAACGAAAACAACAACACCUAAAAUGUGGAAUAUAGCAUAUAGUCGACAAGAGAAAUCUACGAAAAAACAAACAAAACUUUCAACAACGGAUCUCUUGGUUCUCGCAUCGAUGAAGAGCGCAGCGAAAUGCGAUACCUAGUGUGAAUUGCAGCCAUCGUGAAUCAUCGAGUUCUUGAACGCACAUUGCGCCCCUCGGCAUUCCGGGGGGCAUGCCUGUUUGAGCGUCGUUUCCAUCUUGCGCGUGCGCAGAGUUGGGGGAGCGGAGCGGACGACGUGUAAAGAGCGUCGGAGCUGCGACUCGCCUGAAAGGGAGCGAAGCUGGCCGAGCGAACUAGACUUUUUUUCAGGGACGCUUGGCGGCCGAGAGCGAGUGUUGCGAGACAACAAAAAGCUCGACCUCAAAUCAGGUAGGAAUACCCGCUGAACUUAAGCAUAUCAAUA